AUGCCGUCAUAGCGAAUAUUCUAGACGUCCAGGAAGUACGCUCACACACACGCGCACACAUGCACGAAUGCUCAGUCAUUCUUACGCUUGAGUUACCUUUAAUUCUUCGGGCCGAUAAUCAUGAACAUUGAGCGUGAUCUCGAAUUUUUGGUCAUCCUCUUUGAUCCUCAUGACUUGUCUAUCACCAGUUGAAAAACCUCCCCCCGUUGUCUCCCUGAGGGAACGCGGCAUGAACCAACUGGGUAAGCUUGUGGCUGGAUUGCUUACAUCUCGUGACGAGUAUCGACGGCUAUAUUGAUAGGCAGUUAAUGGAUAUUAUUGUGAUUGCACUUAGUUUGAGGAAUAAUGGGUCGGAUGCACACGAUUUCACCUGGUAAUCGACUCUUCAGGGGCUGACGUGAGUGUGGUGGUCCUUCGAGUAUAGGGCUCACGGAGAUCCAACGUAUCAUCAUCGACCUUGUUCCAAAAAUCCUUGGCCUCUCUCAUCAUGUCUCGUCUCAUGGAUUCGAAUUCUUGU